CGGCGGACGGGUGAGUAACGCGUGGGUAACCUGCCUCAUACAGGGGGAUAACAGUUGGAAAACGGCUGCUAAUACCGCAUAAGCGCACAGUACCGCAUGGUACGGUGUGAAAAACUCCGGUGGUAUGAGAUGGACCCGCGUCUGAUUAGGUAGUUGGUGGGGUAACGGCCUACCAAGCCGACGAUCAGUAGCCGACCUGAGAGGGUGACCGGCCACAUUGGGACUGAGACACGGCCCAA
rnacentral:rRNA from 1 species